GAAAGUGUUAACUUGUUGCUGAAGGUGUUGUUCGCAGCGGGGAUUUAGCUGAUUGGUUCGUGAGAUUUUGGCGCAAUUUCUCUUUACGCUGAUUGGCUAGUGCAGUUUUGGCGCCAUUUCUGUUUAACUGCGUCUCUUUUUUUCCAGGAAGUGUUUGGUUUAUUUAGAUCACAGUUCAGCUCAGGUGAGAGCACACACACUGACUCAGCUCUGUGUAGACAAUCUCCUGCUCAUUCACGGUCAACAUGGUAGAUAAAGAACAGUUUCUGCGAAAACACUUUGAUAAAAUUGUACAAAAUACAAGAACUCCAGUGGUACUGGCUGAUCGUCUGCUUGCCAAAGGUUUUAUUAACCAGGAAAUGUAUGAAAAGAUCGAAACCAAGGAAACCAAAUCAGACAAAAACCGUGAAAUUCAUGCAAGCCUCAAUAGUAAAACACACUUUGACUUCAUGUAUGAUUGGUUGAAGGAGAACGAGCCACAUCUGUUUGAAGAAUUGGAAAACGACGACACUGAGGCUGAAGCACCACAGAAAAAACGAGCCAGACUCAGGCGUCAGGAUGAACCAGAUAAUAAUCUUACAGGAUUUCCCGAAUCUGAAAGAGAUCUCCGGACGAUAUCCACCUUCGCCAAACUGGAAGAAUGGGUGUCGAAACCAGAAAUCAGCCAAAAGAUGAUCAGUGACUUGGAGAGAAAACUUGGUGAUGAAGGCAUGGCAGCUUUGAGAAAAGAAUUAAAGCUUAAAGAACCAAGAAAUAGUUUAUGCUUCAAUGCGUCCAAUAUUGAUGAUAUCAGGAAAAAUAAGGAACUUGAAAGAUUUCUCAACACAACAAAGAACGCAAAAUUUCCUAAACUGACAUAUGACAUGUGGUUUAAGAAACGUGCCUCUGCCUCAUCAGGAAACAGAGCUCAAAGCUCCAUUGAUUAUAAUGAGUGCAUAGAGGCGAUGACCGAUUUAAGCAGCAGUGGAGUUGGAUCUUCAUUAAACUCAAGUCUUAAUAAUAGCUACUCUGCAGUCAGUUUCAACUAUUUACCACAAAAUGAUGACGGAUUGCCAGAUGAAGAUUGCAGAUACACUGGAGACGUGGAUAUUAUGAUUCAUGAAAAUAAAGACAAAGAGAGUGAGUUCAAAACCCCUGAAAAGCUCCUUGGUGGAUCAUUCAUCCAAAUGGACCCUGAGGUCAAUGCUGAUGCACCAUCACAAGAACCUGUGAACAUGCAGAAUACACACAUUGAUGAGAUGGAAGAGCGAUCUCAAAGAUCAUAUGUUCCAAAUAGCGUGAGGCAUGAAGAUGAAUCUCUGCAACAAAAUGAGCGAAUCACAAAGAAAGAGACGCCACUAGAUGUUGAACUUGGAAGCAUGGAUUUGCAGGAAAUACAAGUUGAUGAGAUGGAUGAUGAACCUCAAAGAUCAUCUGUUCCAAAUUACCCAAGGCAUGAGGAUGUGUCUCUGCACCAAAAUCAGUCAAUCGCCAAAAAUGAAACACCACUAAAAGAUGGACUUGGAAGCACGGACUUUCAGGGUGCACACAUUGACGAGAUGGAGGAGGAACCUCAAAGAUCAAAUGUUCUGAUGCAUUCCGCAUCGCUGCACCAAAAUGAGUCAGUCAUUAAAAGCAAAAUCCCACUAGAAGGCAGAUGUGGGAACAUGCACAUGCAGCAAAAUGAGCAAGAAAAUAUGCAGGUUAACCCUGGGCCUUUUCUUUCAACGCAGCUGCAGAAGAACAGUCCAGGUUCCGCAUCAGAGCAUACGGAAAGCAAUGGCACAGAGAGCUCGAUGCUAAAUAAAGACACAGCCAUACUAGCUAAAAACGGAGAUGUGAAAGAUCGGAUCGAAACUUCAAAAAAGAGGGCAAACUCAAAAUACCAGAAGGAAAAGAAGAAAGAAGAAAAGGAUAAACGGCUUCGUGACUGGGCACUGAGACAAUGUAAUAACCGUGAAGAGGACUUAAAGAACAUAUUUGACCAGAUCUCAAUUAUAAACAUGGCAGAACACAGCGAUUAUCCAUGCUUUACUGCUGAAAAUGUCAUGGUGUAUAAAUACUUAACUCCCGAGAGCCAGAUUAUCUUCAUCACCGAUGACAAUACCUCCGUCAAAACUAGGACCACGGUCCAUUACCAAAUGUUUGUGUGUAAGAUUAAGAGAGCCAUACUCUUAGGUCCUAAAGAACCUGACGAACAGGAGAUUCCAUAUAAUAUAUCUCAAGUGCCUAUAGAUAAGUGUACAGAUUUUAUUUUCAAAGCAUUCGCUCCUGCUCUUACGGUGUACAAAGAGAUUCAGAAAGAAGAGAAACUGUACUCUCUCAUCUGAGUGCAGUCGGGGUGUUAUUCCACUAGAGCAGUGUAGAGCGCUGCAAAUUCAGCUACUGACAAAAUGUUAUUGUGACGCUAUAACUAUGUUGUGGGAUUAUUUAAUUAAUUUUAAGAACAGUUUAAUUAAAUUCAUUUCUGUAACUUCACUUCACUCAUGAACACGUGCCUUGGGUCAUGAUGUUCUGUCCUUGUACAUGUUUUUCUCCUACCUUCACCAUCUGCAUUAUCUGUGUGGGCCUCUUUCUCACACACACACACACACACACACACACACACACCAGUAUAAAAGCUUGUUUUGUCUGAUUUUUGUUUAGACUAUAGAACGCCCAGGUUGUCUUAAUAAACCAUCUAUUUUAUUAAAACCUGCCUCCUGGUCUCCCGAGUCUGCACAUAUCUUACUUCUAAUGAAACUGCAGCAUUCUGAUGCAUUUACAGUCAGGUCCAUAAGUAUUUGGACAGUGAUGCAAUUUUCAUGAUUUUGCCUGUGUACACAUUUGAAAUGAAGCAGUCGAGAUGUGAUUGAAGUGUAGACUUACAGAUUUAAUUCAAGGGGUUCAGCAAAAAUAUUACAUUAACCAUUUAAGAAUUACAGCAUUUUUUACAGAGUCCCUCCAUUUUUACAGACUGAAAAGUAAUUGGACAAUUGACUGAUGUUCCAUGGCCAGGUGUUCCAUGGCCAGGUGUUUCAUGGCCAGGUGUGGCCUGUUUCCUCGUUAUUCCAUGACAAAUUAAGGAGAUAAAAGGCCUGGAGUUGAAUUUGCAUUCGAUAGCUGAAGAAGAGGAAGAAGCUUUUAUUGAUCACAUAUGUAUUUCAGCACAGUGAAAUUCUCUGACUUAACCUGAACGUGUGAAUCAUUACAUGCCUUAUUGCUAAAAUUUCUAAAAUUUUAAUACAAAUAGCCAGUCGACCCGCACACAGAUAAUAGUUUAUUGGAGGGUCAGAUUAGCUAAUGUAAAAAAAUAACUUUUUGUUCAUAUCAAACAGUAAAAAUGAAUAUUUACCAGCCACUGUGGCAGGUGGAGGAAAAACUGAAUUUCAGACCCUGCUGCCAGUGGAACUGGGUCAGUGGUGUUUACUGAUGAUGUGAGUGCUGAUAGAAGGAGCAGGAUGAAUUCUGUAGUGUAUCGAGAUAUACGUUCUGCUCAGAUUCAGUCGAAUCCUGCAAAACUGAAACAGGACGGCGCUUCACAGUACAGAUGGAAAACGACCUCCCGAAACGUACUGCGAAAGAAUCCCAAGAGCUUCUUAAGGCAAAGAAAUGGUAUGUUCUUAAAUGGCAGCGUCAAUCACCUGACCUCACCCCCUUGAGCUGCUUUUCACUUACUGAAGACAAAACUACAGGCAGAAAAACCCACAAACAAGCAGCAACUGAAGGCAGCUGCAGUAAAGACCUGGUAAAGCAUCUCAAACUCAACAUUUGACGAUGUCCAUGGCUUUCAGACUUCAAUCGGUCAAUGACUGCAACAGAUUUGCAUUCAAGUAUUAAAAAUAGUUCUAAUAUUUAUGAUUAUGUUAGCCUGUCCAAUUACUUUUGAGCCUGUAAAAAAAUGCCCAUAACGCCUCAAUUGUUGAUGCAAUAUUUAUGUUGAACUCCUUGAAUUAAAGCUGAAAGUCUACACUUCAAUCACAGCUCGAUUCCUUCAUUUCUUAUCCCACUACGAAAAUUCAUUACUCACAGACCUGACUGUAGACGCCAUCACGAUUUUAAAUCAUUUUCAUUCAUGUUUGGUUUCUUGUGUGUGUGUGCAUGUGUGUGUGUGUGUGUGUGUGUGUGUGUGUGUGUGUGUUAACCAGAGAUAGUGGUAUAAAGACAAUAUUAGUGUGGGUGUGACCCAUAAUGAGGAAGUGCAUUGGUGGGUGUAAAAGUUUCAGUCUUCAUCAGCAGUGAAUCUCAGUGACAGUGAGAGUCGUGUUACAGCCAGCAACACUUUUCUAAACGUGUUAAAC
ensembl:lncRNA